GAUCGUAAUUUUUUCCCGAUAUUUUUCAAGAGGAAUUAACUGUUUUAAUAGAAUUGUUAGGAGAAAUUAUUACGUUACUCUCGCGCGAUGUUAAUGGACACGAGUUUCACUUCUAAUUUUAUCGUUCAUUUAUCAUGACAGUCACGCAGUUAAACAGCUAAUCUAUUGAAUACAAUAGUUCAUGAAAUCCUCGAGUAAUGGAUUAGCCAGAUAUAUGUAUAGAAAGGUAAUUUAAUCGGCGAGUAUAGCAUCUAUUUUUGCCACUCAUUCAAUAAUGAAAUUUCAACGAGAUCUUUAACAAGUUCGAGAUUAUAUUUGGAAACAACACGCGUCGAAUUCAAGCAUACCUAUUACAAUCAUGCCACGUGACAGGCUGUUCUCCACGAGUAAAUUUUUAUACAAAUAAGACCAGUGUUAAUUAAUGUCAGUGGCACGUCAAGAACCAUAGAAGGUGUAGAGACAGAACACGAUUUGUACGAUCGAGUGGCGAGUAAUCGGGUCAUCAGGUUGACUUGGGCCGGCGAUUGGCCAAGAAACCAGACGAUUUUCGCGACAGCACUCGUUGACUAUGACUGUGACGGCGACUGCUGCGACGACAGCAACUGUGACGAUAGUGGUGGUGGCGGCGGUAACGGUGGUGGAGCCGACGGCGGCGGCAGAGGCGGUGGCGGUGGCAGCCACGACGGCUGUAGUGGUGACAGUGGCGAUGGCGGCGAGAUAGAGAAUUGAAGGAGACAGGAACAGUGAUGAAGGAAGAAGAGAGAGAGAGAGAGAGAGAGAGGUGUUACAUACGGAAGAAGGGGUUUAGAGAAUCGCGAGAUGGAAGAAGAGAAGAACAAGUAAGACGGGUAAGAGAGUAAGGUAGUACACGGAGGUGUGGGAUCAGCGCGAGACGCGGUAGAAACUCGAGGGACGGAAAGGGGCGAAAAGCGACGAGCGCCGCCGAGACGAGACGAGGCGCGACGAGGAAAGACGAUGAAGGCCGACGGGGGUCGCACACCGCGGCGCUGAACGCAGUGCCAUCCGAUAGGCAGCACCGCUUGCUCCACGGAUCUUCGGCUCGUUCGUUUCGAGCUUCGGUCGUUCGUUGUACGAUCCACGCUCGAUUCCGCUUCCUUCUUUUUCGUUCGUCUUGGCGUGGCUGCCGUGGCGUCCAUGCCGAGAAAGGAAAAGCCAGCAUCGACACGUUACACACGGUGGAAAACACGGAGCCGUCGCGAAGACGCGUGCACUGGUCGUGUGUGUCGUUGCCGCGCGUAGUUUUACGUGUACUGCGUAUACGUCUGAUCGUGCUCGUGAACAGAGGUGCCCCCUCUCCUCAUCCCGAACGGCGAACGCGUGGUGGUCAACACGAUACAUCAUCGUAACCCUUCCUCGAGGAUAAACGCUUGACGAAGAGAUUCGGAGUGUUUGGAAGCGCGGUGAAGCGGGAACACCAGAGGAUGCGAGCAGCGGAGGCGCGUUUACUCGCGAAUGCUCGUCCGGCGAUCGUUCCUGGCAACGAUCGGCACGGCUCGCGAUGAUGGCGGAGCGCGGUCGCGUAGCAGCGAUAUCGUGGUUCGAGUACGCGCGACGCGGAUACCUCGGUAGAAACGUUCGACACACGACGGGAUAAAUGCGAGACCGAAAUCUCGUGGGUGGACCAGUUGUCGCGGCGACGAAGAAGAGGAAGAAGAAAAAGAGGCAGCUGGAAUCGGG